AGAUGUGAGGGAGAUCUGGCUGAGACAUCUGUUACCCCAUUGAUCACCAGGGUUGAUUCGACUGAUCUGACUGGCUAGGCAGGUGUCCCCUUCUUCCCUCAACGUUCCACGUGUGUCCCUCCUGAAGCUGCGGGCUUGGUUGAAGAGGAUGACCUUCCCAUAUAGAGGAGGACCAGUCUUUGGUCAAGGGUAUAUAAGUAGCUGCGCUCCCCUGCUAGAACCUCCAAACAAGCUCUCAAGACUAAAUACUUCUUGUCAUCCCAUUCUUUACCUUCUCCUUUCAUAGAAUUGUCUUUAAUGAAAACUGUUUAAAUAU
rnacentral:snRNA from 1 species